rnacentral:lncRNA from 1 species
GUCGUUCGUGCACCUGUCCCCAAUGGAAGAAUGAGUGAUCUGUUCCCCUGCGGAUCAUGGCCUUACCACUCGGUCCCCGAUGGCCAGCGGGGGAUUCGGUAUAGCAGCUCAGGUUCGUUUGCGCUGCGCGUUCCCGCUGGACUGGACACAUGAUAGCUGUAGGAAGUAUGGUUCCGAAAGUGACUUCGGUUCGCCAGUUCACUUUCUUAGCUAGCCUAGCGUGUUAGAAACCUACAGGGAACAAGAGCCAGAUCGAAGACAUUCCUUUCAUUCUUUUAUACCCCUCUCUUCUUAGUUGCUCCUCUUUCUAGGGAUCUAAUGGUCGUAGACUACCUUCUUGUGACUAUGUUGAAGAAUUCUUUCCCCCCUUUGAGUUCUCGAGUGAAGGGUCCAAGCCAUAGGAAAAUAUCCAGUUUCUCUCGCAACAUA